UACAGAGGUCUCAAGCGUUGUUCGGAUUCAUUGGGCGUAAAGGGUGCGUAGGCGGCGCGGUAAGUCGGGUGUGAAAUCUUGGAGCUUAACUCCGAAACUGCAUUCGAUACUGCCGUGCUUGAGGACUGGAGAGGAGACUGGAAUUUACGGUGUAGCGGUGAAAUGCGUAGAUAUCGUAAGGAAGACCAGUGGCGAAGGCGGGUCUCUGGACAGUUCCUGACGAUGAGGCACGAAGGUCAGGGGAGCAAACGGG
rnacentral:rRNA from 1 species